UACGUAGGGGGCAAGCGUUGUCCGGAUUUAUUGGGCGGAAAGAGCGUGUAGGCGGCUAGGUAGGUCCGUUGUGAAAACUCGAGGCUCAACCUCGAGACGUCGAUGGAAACCAUCUAGCUAGAGUCCGGAAGAGGAGAGUGGAAUUCCUGGUGUAGCGGUGAAAUGCGCAGAUAUCAGGAAGAACACCCGUGGCGAAGGCGGCUCUCUGGUACGUGACUGACGCUGAGACGCGAAAGCGUGGGGAGCGAACAGG
rnacentral:rRNA from 1 species